rnacentral:rRNA from 1 species
CACGUAGGGGGCAAGCGUUGUCCGGAUUUAUUGGGCGUAAAGAGCUCGUAGGCGGUUCGGUAAGUCGGGUGUGAAACCUCCAGGCUCAACCUGGAGUCGCCACUCGAUACUGCUGUGACUAGAGUCCGGUAGGGGAGCGUGGAAUUCCUGGUGUAGCGGUGAAAUGCGCAGAUAUCAGGAGGAACACCAGCGGCGAAGGCGGAUCUCUGGGCCGUAACUGACGCUGAGGAGCGAAAGCAUGGGGAGCGAACAGG